rnacentral:rRNA from 1 species
UACGCAGGGGGCUAGCGUUGCUCGGAAUGACUGGGCGUAAAGGGCGCGUAGGCGGUUCGUACCGUCAGACGUGAAAUUCCCGGGCUCAACCUGGGGGCUGCGUUUGAUACGUGCGGGCUUGAGUUCGGAAGAGGGGCGUGGAAUUCCUGGUGUAGUGGUGAAAUGCGUAGAGAUCCGGAGGAACCCCAGGGGCGAAGGCGGCGCCCUGGCUCGCAACUGACGCUCAGACACGACAGCAUGGGGAGCGAACGGG